UUUCUAAACAUAUGGUAAGAGUCGUGAGUAAUUGCUUCCUAACUCCUCUCUCUUAGGAUGGUGUUUCGAUAAUAAACAUGAUGCUGCUUAGCAACUUUUCUCUUUAAACAAAAUCUUUAGAAAAGUAAGCACAAGAAGAAAUGCCGAAUUUCUUAUAUAAACCAACGAUUUCAUUCAAGAAAUUAUCAUUUCUUCGGAAGAUACAACAUGAACAAGUCACUAUUUCUUCUCUUGCUCGUCAUCGGACUGACGUAGCAAGUCGUAUAAAACAAUAUUCUUUUAUUGUUCCAUACCUUAGAAUUACGAUUACUUUUCCAACUGCGUGGUAACUUGUGGUACACAAAUAAACUAGCGCUAACUAAAUACACAAAAACAUGAAAAGUGA